GACGAACGCUGGCGGCGUGCUUAACACAUGCAAGUCGAACGGAAAGGCCCUGCUUUUGUGGGGUGCUCGAGUGGCGAACGGGUGAGUAAAACGGGUUUAUCCUCCCCUUUGUUUUGGGGUACAUCUAGUAAACAGGGUAGAUAACCGCGAAGAACCCCCGCUGGCACGUGGGGGGUGUGAAAGUUUCGCAGUUGGGGGAAGGCCAGGUGGCUUUUCAGCUUGUUGGUGGGGUGGUGGGUUACUAGGGCGUCGAGGGGAAGCUGCCCUGGGAGGGUGACCGGCCCCAUUGGGACUGAGAUACGGCCCAUAGUCCUACGGGAGGCAGCAGUGGGGAAUAGUGCACAAUGGGCGGAAGCCUGAUGCAGCAACGCCGCGUGCGGGAUGACGGCCUUCGGGUUGUAAACCGCUUUCGCCUGUGAAGAAGCGUGAGUGACGGUAAUGGGUAAAGAAGCACCGGCUAACUACGUG
rnacentral:rRNA from 1 species